rnacentral:lncRNA from 1 species
GCUUCCUCCUGGGCAUCCCGUCUCUAGCAAGGUAGUUCCGUUCCGGUCCCAGCUGUUCUCCUAGCCUCCAUGCUUGAUUGCUACGAGUUCUUGUUGUGUGUGUGCUUGCUGGCUUAGUGAUGUGUGUGUCCAGGCACCCAUUGUAUUUUUUUGCUGGCUUACUGCCGCGUGCAUGAUUGUUGUGGCUAGCUUGGUGGUAGCAUCAUACAUACUGUUCUGGUUGGUUAGCUUCACGCUCUAAAGCUGGGAUUUUAAUUCUCUGAGUGUAAGUAAUGUAUUGUUAUACCAGAUGAAAUAUAUGCAGGCACUGCUAACAUGAUUUAGCUUAUAGGCGGAAGUAUAUAUUUUAAAUCCUUAUGUUCAAUUCUUAGGACCAUUCUUUACUAGAAGUCCAGAACUAUGUGAUUUGGUAAUUGUGUCAAAGCUCGCCUGGUUGUGCCGUAUUGCAUUGUGAAUGCUAUGUUGUUGGGGAAUCAGCGAGCUUGGUUAUAUUUCUGUGGCCGUCAUGUUAACUUGUGGCCGUAGCGCUCGCUUGCUAGCUACGAGUUCUUCUUGUGUAUUUGCUUAGUGGCUUAGUUAUGUGUGUGUGUCGGGCACCUGAUGUGUUUUUUGCUGGCUUGUUGGUGCGUGCAUGAUUGUUGUGACUGGGCGCUGGCUGUUCGGUGCUGGGCUGCUGAUGGCAUGCUACCUGCUUCGAAAAAAGGAAUGAAAGGAAGCAUUUGUUCAUAGAACAAAUAUAUUGUAAAAUUUUGCAUGGAAAGCCUGCAUAUUUAGCAAGGAAAAGGAGUCUAGAGAGCCUUAGGUUCUUGUUAUGUGUUGAUUUUGCAAAAUUUCUGCAGCUAUAUAUUUGCUCAAUCCAAAAGACAAAUUGUACUCAACCUUCAGUAUAAUGUAUUUCUAAUUGUUCAUAACUACUUAAUUUUUUGUUGUGAUUUUGCAAUAUAUUUUGUUCAAUUCUUAGAACAAAGAAGAGAGAAUCUGCAUUUUAUGAAUCCUUUCUUCUUUCCUCUUUCUUCAUUGUUACUUCAAGUUAGUGAAUUCAUUUAGGUUGUAUUGAGCAACUUCAUGUGAUGGUUUCUUCAUCUACACAUCUUAUUCAGUCACGAGGCCAGUAAGAUCUUUUGCCUUUUAGAAAAAGGGAGAUGUCAUUUAGACCUUACUCUUCCAACUUGAUCUUUAACUUGCUACUACUGUUUCUAAGCAUUUUCCCAAGCAUUUUUUAUUUGCUUCAGAGAAUGAGCUCACCUUAUUCAAUGGAUGUGCCAAGUAAAAAAAUUAGAAACUGAGCAAUUUGUUCCACUCUUAAAUUUUGUACAGCAGUCCAAAUUAUCCAAUAAAUCAUUUGUUAGCAGGGUCAAAUUAUAGAAGUUGAAUCAGUUGUUCCAAAUUACCCAGUGAGACUUAUUCCAUUUGUUUAUCCUUUUGUACUUUUAAUCAAGAACAAUGUUUAGAGCUUGCAUGGUUGUUGAAAUUUAGUUCUGUAAAAGAGGAAUAUUGAUAUCAUGCAAUGAUCAGUGCAGAUUAGGAUAGUUAUAGAGUUCUUCCUCAGUUUUCAUUGAGCAAGGAUUGAAUCUGCAUGAUUUGUUCUAAUGCCAAGUAAAUCUUGGUCUGCAUUGUGUUACUUUUCCUGCUGAGUUUUUUUGGCUAUUUUCGUUUAAAUUGGUAGUUGAUGUGAAAAAGUGUGUUGACAUGCAUGUAACCAAAUCAUGUAUUAAUGUGAGGUACUACAUAUACUUGCCUAUCUCUUUCCAGAAGCACAACCCUCUUGAUCCAACUAGGAACAUCAAAACCAAAUGGGAUAUCAUUGAGUGGACUUCAGAUGGCAUGCUGUGAGUACACCAUUAGUAUCUGAAUCUGCUUUGUAUAAUUAAGACACACUUUCUACAUAUCGCUGCUAUAUUGAUACCAUGUGAUCACUUAACAUGAGUGUGACUAGCCUAUUUUCUUGCCUAACUGUGUGAUUGCAUGUAGUAAUGCAUGGCUUCUCUAUUUAAAUGAAGAGUUGUGUUUAUCAUAAU